ACCAUUGGGGUUCUCCCCUUGCGGGAGAUUAAAACGGGAACCGUGUGUAAAUCAUGGGCUGUCGCGCAACUGUUAGUUCCAAAAAGGGCUUGUGCAACAAUGUCACUGAAGCAAUUCGGGAAGGCGCACUAGUGGAACGAGCCAGGAGACCUGCCUCAGAUGG
rnacentral:ncRNA from 1 species